CCUACGGGUGGCAGCAGUGGGGAAUAUUCGGCAAUGGGCGCAAGCCUGACCCAGCAAUGCCGCGUGAAGGAAGAAGGCUUUCGGGUUGUAAACUUCUUUUAAGAGGGAAGAGAAGAAGACGGUACCUAUUGAUUAUGCCACGUCUAACUACGUGCCAGCAGCAGCGGUAAUACGUAGGUGGCAAGCGUUGUCCGGAUUGACUGGGUGGAAAGGGCGUGUAGCCGGGCUGACAAGUCAGAUGUGAAAUUCCGGGGCUCAACCCAGGACCGGCAUUGGAAACUGUUGGUCUUGAGUGUCGGAGAGGCAGGCGGAAUUCCAAGUGUAGCGGUAAAAUGCGUAGAUAUAAGGAAGAACACCAGUGGCGAAGGCGGCCUGCUGGCCGACUGCUGACGGUGAGGCGCGAAAGCGUGGGGAGCAAACAGGAUUAGAUACCCUUGUAGUC
rnacentral:rRNA from 1 species